UACGGAGGGUGCAAGCGUUGCUCGGAAUUAUUGGGCGUAAAGGGCAGGUAGGUGGUCUCAUUUGUCUGGGGUGAAAGCCUUGGGCUUAACUCAAGAAGUGCCCCAGAAACGGUGAGACUAGAGUGCUGGAGAGGGUCGUGGAAUUCCCGGUGUAGCGGUGAAAUGCGUAGAUAUCUGGAGGAACACCGGUGGCGAAGGCGGCAUCCUGGACCAACACUGACGCUGAGUGAGCGAAAGCCAGGGGAGCAAACGGG
rnacentral:rRNA from 1 species